rnacentral:rRNA from 1 species
UACGGAGGGUGCGAGCGUUGUCCGGAAUUACUGGGCGUAAAGGGCUCGUAGGCGGCCAACUAAGUCAUACGUGAAAUCCCUCGGCUUAACCGGGGAACUGCGUCUGAUACUGGAUGGCUUGAGAUUGGGAGAGGGAUGCGGAAUUCCAGGUGUAGCGGUGAAAUGCGUAGAUAUCUGGAGGAACACCGGUGGCGAAGGCGGCAUCCUGGACCGAUAUUGACGCUGAUGCGCGAAAGCCAGGGGAGCAAACGGG